rnacentral:misc_RNA from 1 species
UUUUUUUUUUUUUUUUUAACAAGUUUAAGGUUUAAAGAAUUUAUUCUCAUAAAAAGAUUACAUUAAAUCCACUUACAUGAGAACAAUACAUUGAUAUAAGUACUUAAUUAAAUCAACAGUCACUGCAUUUUAACAAAAGUUUGUUACAAUGAAUAAGUAAAGAUGCACAAAACAUUCAUAAUAAUUAUAGUAAAUCAAAGUGAAAAUGUAUUUGCUUGUUUACACACAAAUAGAUACACAUACACAUUAGUAGUUUGCAAUUAUGUAAUUACGUAAUUGGGACUUAAAAAUGUUGAGAGAGUCUAGAUUUUUUAUAUCUGAGGGUAGUUUAUUAUAAAAAUUUACUCCCUCAAAAGUUAUACUUUUUUUCCCUAAUUUGGUACGAGUUUUUGGCAACACGAGCAA